UUUUUUGAUUUUUGAAGUCAAGCUCUAAAUUGAGUCCCGACUCAAAAAGCUUAGUUCACCUAGCAUCGAGCUACAUUCAAAAGAUAAAAAUAAUUCUUGCAGUUAAUCCGAGCUCAACGCUCGCAGUCACACUUAUAAAUUGAGCCGAGCUCGACGCUUGCUAUUAUGUGAAAAUGUUUUACAAAAACCAAGACCUCGUCUUGCUUUAAGUCUUCAAAACAGGAUAAGCCGAGAGUUCCUCGCACCUUAAAGAAUAAAAGAGCUCAAAAGCUCACGUAUCUUGCUAACCAAAUGAUAAUGGCAUGUUUGCAGCUCAUCGCAACUUAUGUUUUUUUUAGCUCAUCGGCCCGGCUAUCUCGCAGAUCGCAAGACAAACCAUCUAGCAACCUAUAUCCUAGAUCGCUCGUCAGAUCAUCUGAUAGCUUGCCUUGCAGCUUGUUAGCAAGAUCAUUUGGUAACCUAUCUCACUGCUCGGCUCAUCAGUCAGGUCAUUUCUCUGCUAGGCAUUCAGAUCAUCUAGGAGAGCAUCCCACAGCUCCUCAACAACUCAUGAGGUCCAUCAGACUACCUAACUCACAAGCUUAGCCUUGUUUUAUAUCGUCGACGCGUGCCAAGCUAAACUGACGUAUCUUGGAGGUUCAACGGAUCAAAUUUUAAUUCGCAUCUUCCUAAAGUAUAAGCCGAAUAUUCACUUCUUUUAAUUCGGAAAAACUCGAGUUUAGCAUUUGGAUUUUCCCGAACUGGGGGGGACUAAUUGUUGCCGGAAUUAGCACCUCC
rnacentral:sRNA from 1 species